CCUGGCUCACGAUGAACGCUAGCUACAGGCUUAACACAUGCAAGUCGAGGGGCAGCAUGGUCUUAGCUUGCUAAGGCCGAUGGCGACCGGCGCACGGGUGAGUAACACGUAUCCAACCUGCCGUCUACUCUUGGACAGCCUUCUGAAAGGAAGAUUAAUACAAGAUGGCAUCAUGUGUCCGCAUGUUCACAUGAUUAAAGGUAUUCCGGUAGACGAUGGGGAUGCGUUCCAUUAGAUAGUAGGCGGGGUAACGGCCCACCUAGUCUUCGAUGGAUAGGGGUUCUGAGAGGAAGGUCCCCCACAUUGGAACUGAGACACGGUCCAAACUCCUACGGGAGGCAGCAGUGAGGAAUAUUGGUCAAUGGGCGAGAGCCUGAACCAGCCAAGUAGCGUGAAGGAUGACUGCCCUAUGGGUUGUAAACUUCUUUUAUAAAGGAAUAAAGUCGGGUAUGGAUACCCGUUUGCAUGUACUUUAUGAAUAAGGAUCGGCUAACUCCGUGCCAGCAGCCGCGGUAAUACGGAGGAUCCGAGCGUUAUCCGGAUUUAUUGGGUUUAAAGGGAGCGUAGAUGGAUGUUUAAGUCAGUUGUGAAAAGUUUGCGGCUCAACCGUAAAAUUGCAGUUGAUACUGGAUAUCUUGAGUGCAGUUGAGGCAGGCGGAAUUCGUGGUGUAGCGGUGAAAUGCUUAGAUAUCACGAAGAACUCCGAUUGCGAAGGCAGCCUGCUAAGCUGCAACUGACAUUGAGGCUCGAAAGUGUGGGUAUCAAACAGGAUUAGAUACCCUGGUAGUCCACACGGUAAACGAUGAAUACUCGCUGUUUGCGAUAUACUGCAAGCGGCCAAGCGAAAGCGUUAAGUAUUCCACCUGGGGAGUACGCCGGCAACGGUGAAACUCAAAGGAAUUGACGGGGGCCCGCACAAGCGGAGGAACAUGUGGUUUAAUUCGAUGAUACGCGAGGAACCUUACCCGGGCUUAAAUUGCAGAUGAAUUACGGUGAAAGCCGUAAGCCGCAAGGCAUCUGUGAAGGUGCUGCAUGGUUGUCGUCAGCUCGUGCCGUGAGGUGUCGGCUUAAGUGCCAUAACGAGCGCAACCCUUGUUGUCAGUUACUAACAGGUUCCGCUGAGGACUCUGACAAGACUGCCAUCGUAAGAUGUGAGGAAGGUGGGGAUGACGUCAAAUCAGCACGGCCCUUACGUCCGGGGCUACACACGUGUUACAAUGGGGGGUACAGAGGGCCGCUACCACGCGAGUGGAUGCCAAUCCCCAAAACCUCUCUCAGUUCGGACUGGAGUCUGCAACCCGACUCCACGAAGCUGGAUUCGCUAGUAAUCGCGCAUCAGCCACGGCGCGGUGAAUACGUUCCCGGGCCUUGUACACACCGCC
rnacentral:rRNA from 1 species